CUGCAGCAGCCCCCUGAAGCUGAGCCUGUGACCCUGGUGCUGCUGUGUGUGGGCUGGGCAGAGCACGGGAGGGCCCCGCGCUCACGUGGAGGUAAAUGACAGGCGGGUGCUGGCCCCGGACGGGCAGUUUCGCUCUUGGGAAACGUGUUUACCCCGUGAGGGAUGAGCUGUUUCCUGCGGGGGACGGGGCGGGACCGCAGGGAGCCCCACAGCACCGGCUCAGGCACAGCCUGUGACCGGUGACCCCGUGCAGGGUGCAGCUCUCCCACCUCACUGCCUGCGGGGAGCCCAGCGCUUCCCAACCCCUCCCCAGACCCUUCACCCUCCUGCAGUGCCGGUGCCGGGGGGGACACAGGGUCAGAACUGCACAGAGCAAGAGGCAGAGCCCUCCGGAAUCGGACGGAAGCCCCCACAUGGCCGGGGGGCAGCAGGCAGAGCCCCCGGGGUCUCUCCACAGCUCAGCUAGGGGUGAAACAAACAGCUCCAAGUGCACAGAGCAGCGCUUUAGGGAACACGACACUGCGUUUAUUCCGAGAGAUUUGAUAGUAUCAGAUAAUGUUACAAAACCCUGAUCAAGAGGAAAUCCCAACCACAGCAGUCCUGCUCUGCAAGGGGCCGAGCCUACCAACAACACCAACGCAACCGAAGCACAGCAAUGGGAUGAAGUCUCCAACACCGCCCCCCACAUCCCAGCCCCACGGGCUCUGGAGCAGCUCCUGCUGCGAGCUCAGCGCCCGGGGCUGCGGUGCCCCCCCCGCUGCCCCUGUGCGCCGGGGGCAGGACCCCAUCCUGGGGGUCGGCAGCAGCCGCCACAAGCAGAAAGGGGGCGGCUGCGGCGUGGGGGGGGACCCAGCGCCCAGUGACUCGAGGCCCAUUAUUGUCCCCGUUGCACCGGAGACCUGCACGGCCUCAGCGCACGGCCUCACACCACUGCCUCCUCGCGGCAGCACCGGGGACACCUCCAGUGCCACCGGGAGGCCCCAGCCCCGGGUUGGGCGAGGCCGCUGCCCGUGGCUGCGCUCCGGAGGCUCACACAGGUCAUGUGCUCACACAGGUCAUGUGACCACAGGUCACACGGAGCCGCCACCGAGCCCCGGCGGGGCCUCUCCCCGCACCGACCGAGCGCCCACAGCCGGUACCGGAGGGACGCUGCCCGGCGUGCCCCGCUCUAGCGCGCCCCACCGCUGCUGUGCCCUGGCUUUGGGGGCCCCCUGCCGGCCGGGCGGACACCCAGCAUCCCCUGGGAUGGACCAGCCCGACGCGGCCAUUGCUGCCGGGUCCGGUGGCACCGGUGGCACCGGUGGGGUCUGCGCUGCCAUCAUAUCCCGGGGAAGGAAGCUCGAACGCAGGAGAGCCGAAAGCCAAGAACCCGGGAGCAGAGAGCCGGAGGAGCGGGGAGCAGAGCACGCUCCCAACGGAGCCUCCACAAAAGCCGCAGCUGUGGCCGCGCUUCCUACUUUAAACUGCCUGCGGCCCCGCCCUCACCCUGGAUCUGGCCAAUCAGAGACGCCCUCUCCGGAUUGGCAGGAGGGGAGCCAAACAGAGCGGAGCCUUCUGCCACACCCACUUGACUGACACCAGGGCUGCCAAUCAGAUGCUGGCCCCGCCCCGCGGGGGUGGGCGGUGCUUCCUGACGCUCUGCGGCGGCCGGGGAUGGUGUCCGCGGUGCCGGUGGAGGAUGCGAUGGCGGCUCCGGGAGACACCAACGGGGCUGGUGCGGGUUCGAGGCCGGGCUCGGGGCGGCCGCCGCCCGGGGACCUGCGGAGCGCGCUCAUCACCAGCGUGCUGAGCCUGGAGCGCCUGGAGCUGGAUCUCUUCAGGGGACCCCAAGGUGCCGGUUCUGUACGAGGUGGAGCGGACCCGCACGGGGAAGAGCUUCUCUGUUCGUUCUGUGAAGGCCAUCCAGC